rnacentral:rRNA from 1 species
UACGGAGGGUGCAAGCGUUAUCCGGAUUCACUGGGUUUAAAGGGUGCGUAGGUGGGCAGGUAAGUCAGUGGUGAAAUCUCCGGGCUUAACCCGGAAACUGCCAUUGAUACUAUCAGUCUUGAAUACCGUGGAGGUAAGCGGAAUAUGUCAUGUAGCGGUGAAAUGCUUAGAUAUGACAUAGAACACCAAUUACGAAGGCAGCUUACUACCCGAAUAUUGACACUGAGGCACGAAAGCGUGGGGAUCAAACAGG